rnacentral:rRNA from 1 species
CCCCUAGAUGUUCUGGGCCGCACGCGCGCUACACUGAACAGUUCAACAAGUCUUAACCUUGGCCGAUAGGUCUGGGUAAUCUUUGAACGCUGUUCGUGAUUGGGAUAGACCUUUGCAAUUAUGGGUCUUCAACGAGGAAUUCCUAGUAAACGCAAGUCAUCAGCUUGCAUUGAUUACGUCCCUGCCCUUUGUACACACCGCCCGUCGCACCUACCGAUUGAAUGGUCCGGUGAAGCGUUCGGACCGUGGCCUUUGGACGGUUCGCCGUCUGUUGGCUGCGGGAGGUUCGUUAAACCUUAUCAUUUAGAGGAAGGUGAAGUCGUAACA